UACGGAGGGUGCAAGCGUUGUCCGGAAUCACUGGGCGUAAAGGGCGCGUAGGCGGCUCAUGAGGCUGAUCGGGUGAAAGUCCGGGCUCGAACCUCGGACUCGGCCGGUGGCGACUCGUGGGCUGGAGCACUGUAGAGGCGGGUGGAAUUCCGGGUGUAGCGGUGGAAUGCGUAGAGAUCCGGAAGAACACCAGUGGCGAAGGCGGCCCGCUGGGCAGUGGCUGACGCUGAGGCGCGACAGCGUGGGGAGCAACAGG
rnacentral:rRNA from 1 species